rnacentral:tRNA from 1 species
GGAGGGGUAGCCUAAUUGGUAAGGCACCGGUCUUGAAAACCGGCGGUUUCGGCCUUGCGGGUUCGAGUCCCGCCCCCUCCGCCA